rnacentral:tmRNA from 1 species
GGGGAUGAUCGGUUUCGACGAUGCGGGUUGAGACAGGGGAAGCGUGCCGAGGAUGCAGAGUUAUCUCGUAAACGCUCUCUGUAAAAAAAUAAGUGCAGAAUCUAAGCGCACUGACUUCGCUCUCGCUGCCUAAGCGCGACUAGCGAAUCUGCUGGCCUGAGCUCGCCUUUAGCUCAGUUACCAGUAUCAGUUUAAAAGGCCACUGCUUUCUAUCUUCGUCGUAGGGAUAGAAGGAACACUUAUACGAAUAGGUUCGGCAGCAUGUGUGUUUGUGCAAAUGCUGGAGCCGAAAAUUAACCGUUACGCAAACUGCGCACGGAGAAGACCUGACGAGGUCGCAUCGGACCGGGGUUCGAUUCCCCGCAUCUCCACU